AUCCCAUAUGUAGGAAAGCAAUUCAACCUUUCCUGUUGAAAAAGAUUAAUUGAUGCCAUGAAGGUGCAUUCUGGACUACUGCCCAAUCAAUUGCUAAUCAUGGCACACCCAAAUCAUAUUUGUGGCCAUCUAACUUUUUGUCUCCGAAAAAGUUCAAGAUCUAAUGUUGGUGACUCAAUAUCAAAGCCACAUAACUCCCUAGAUAAAAUAAAAUCAAAUGUCUCGAUAUCAAGAAUCCAAUUUGAUAGAUAAUUCCACUGCACUCUAGUCUCAAUAGAAAAUAGAUGCACC
rnacentral:lncRNA from 1 species